GACGAACGCUGGCGGCGUGCUUAACACAUGCAAGUCGAACGGAAAGGCCCUGCUUUUGUGGGGUGCUCGAGUGGCGAACGGGUGAGUAACACGUGAGUAACCUGCCCUUGACUUUGGGAUAACUUCAGGAAACUGGGGCUAAUACCGGAUAGGAGCUCCUGCUGCAUGGUGGGGGUUGGAAAGUUUCGGCGGUUGGGGAUGGACUCGCAGCUUAUCAGCUUGUUGGUGGGGUAGUGGCUUACCAAGGCUUUGACGGGUAGCCGGCCUGAGAGGGUGACCGGCCACAUUGGGACUGAGAUACGGCCCAGACUCCUACGGGAGGCAGCAGUGGGGAAUAUUGCACAAUGGGCGGAAGCCUGAUGCAGCAACGCCGCGUGCGGGAUGACGGCCUUCGGGUUGUAAACCGCUUUCGCCUGUGACGAGGCGUGAGUGACGGUAAUGGGUAAAGAAGCACCGGCUAACUACGUG
rnacentral:rRNA from 1 species